AAACGGGAGGAAAUAAGUGAAUUUCAGAUUCCUUUCUUCUCUUUUUUAACAACUAAAAUAGAGAAAUUAUAAAAAAUAAAUAAAAAAAUCUAAAAUAGAGAAAAUGAGAUAAAACCUCACUCUUAUUUGUCUGUCUUUUCUCUUCCCUUCCCUCUAACCAACUAAAAGGCAAGAAAAAAAUUGAAUUGAAUUAGACACUUCUCUUUAGAAAUAGAAAGAAUCAGAGUUGAACCAAGAAGGAGAACCUUAUAUUAUGGCAUUAAUCAGAAGACAUAAUCAUUGUGGAACCAUGGAAGAUGAUAUUAUCAGCCAUCUAUCGGACAAUGUGGUGGACAACAUUCUUAUGUUCUUACCAUUGCGAGAUGCUGUAAGAACAAGUGCUUUGUCACAGAAAUGGAGGCACAACUGGGAAACUCUUCCACAACUUGUGUUCGACAGUGAUUUUGAGGAGAGUCUAAAACAAUAUCCAGCAAAGAAUGAGCUUCUCUUCACUAUCUAUCAAAUUCUGUUACUCCAUCGUGGUCCAAUACUUAAAUUUACUCUCUCCAUUUCAGGAUCAAAGAGCUUCUGUGCAAUUGAUCCAAUUGUAUGGUUGCUUUCGAGGAAUGGCAUCCAGAAUUUACUCUUAGCAUUAAAAGGAAUGAAAAAUAUAAAAUGCCAUCGUGUCUUUUUUCGUGCAAGAACUAAGACAUUUGCAACUGUCUUCUUGUUUUUUCAACCCUCCUGCUACUUUCGAAGGAUUUAAUAGGCUAACCAGUAUUAACUUUAAGAAUGUCACCUUUGGUGAUGAUGUUCAAAACUUUAUCUUGAAAUGCCCAUUGGUGGAAAAUUUAAUUAUGCAAAACAAUAGGAACAUUGACCAUCUUGACAUAUAUGCUCCUAAUCUCAAGGUCCUACACAUUAAGGUGUUUCAAUUCUAUCUAUUUCAGAAAUACUCCACUUCUUAUGACAGCUUAAAUCAGAGGGCAUGGGAAUCCGGAGGUGCAGAAUGGAAGAAAAAUCAACAUGCUUGAGGUUUUUGGUUGUCUACCCAGCAUAGAGUACCUGCAUGUAGAUUAUUAUUUAUUGAUGAUUUUGGCUGCAGGGGAUAUUCCGGAAAGGUUUCUAACUCCUUUCAAUCUCCUAAAAACUCUUAUAUUACGUGAAAUAUCGUUAGAUGAGGUGGCUGAAUUUUCACUUGCUCUCUGCUUGAUUAAGAGCUCUCCUCACCUGCAAAAACUUGAAAUCAGUGUAGAUGAAUGUCCAAAUAUUAACUCUGAUGGUGCUGUAGAAUUUCUGGCGGUUCAAAACAGAUCAGACAUUUCUUUGGAUAAAGUUCAAGAGGUAGAAAUGCUAGAUUUAACAGGCAGGGGGCUUCAGAUGGGGGUUUGUUAAGCUUCUGCUAGCCAAAUCACCCAUGUUAGAGAGAAUGCACGUUCAUCCUUUGCAGGGCAUAAGCACCAAUGAAGAACUAAGGCUUUUGACAGAGAUUACUCGUUUUUGCUGGCCAUCAGCAGUAGCAGAAAUCAUAUACUCUGGCUUAAAUCAUGUGAAUUCUUAGUGUGUUAGUCUGUUUAUGUAUGGAAGAAUAUGAUAUUUAACCGGCCUGAUUGGAAUUAAUUUGUGGUUGUUUAUUUUGAUUUUUUUUAUAAUUAAGAUAUUUAUUCUCGUACAUGUAAAGAAUGUGAAGUAAUUUAACUCUUUCAAUUAUUUUGAGGAGAA